rnacentral:piRNA from 1 species
UAAUGUGCACGGGAAAGAGCAGGAG